GUGUCCUUAGCUCAGCUGGAUAGAGCAAGUGCCUUCUAAGCACUAGGUCGGGAGUUCGACUCUCUCAGGACACGCCA
rnacentral:tRNA from 1 species